rnacentral:lncRNA from 1 species
CAUGCCCCACUUCCUCUAGAUUAGAUCUGAGAGAAAGGGAGAUUAGAGAGAGAGGAAGAGAAAAAGAAGAGUUUUUUUUCUCUUCUUGGUGUUCAAAAAAGGUUCCUUCGAAUCUGCGCGAAGGAUUCGUGCAACAGGCUUUUUCUUUCAACUAGUUCUAGAAGAAAGGGCUAGAUCUAAGCUAAAGAGCAAGGCCUGCAAGGUGUUAGUACUUCGAUGGCCUCAAUGUUUCGAUCAG